CACAGAGAGAUAUAGACAGUAUAUUUACAGGAGCGUCAGAUUUAUGCGGGAAGGAGGAGAGGUAGAGCUAAAAGACAAUAUCAUAGGCGGGAAAGGGAUAAAAUAAAAUAAUGAAGAAGAUUAAACAAGAAGGUGAAAUUUUCAUCUUGUACAGCGAAUGCUUGUCGUCAUGAAUGACGAAAACCUUGAUAAAGAGAAUGGGACGCAAGAAGUAAGACAGUCAAUAUAAGUUUUAUCUUACCUGGGUACGUUGGCGAGAAGUACGAUUGUUCCAGAGUCCACCCAGUCCACCUCCUCCUGCCCAGCCACCGUCAGUCGGGGUACAUGGCUCACUCCGCUGAGAAUGGACCUGAAGUGAAGCUCUACGGCGAUCGGAGGGCAUGUUCGGCGGCGUAUCCAGGGCGGCUGGUACCGGUAAUAAUGA